UACGUAGGGGGCUAGCGUUGUCCGGAAUCAUUGGGCGUAAAGCGCGUGUAGGCGGCCCGGUAAGUCCGCUGUGAAAGUCGGGGGCUCAACCCUCGGAUGCCGGUGGAUACUGUCGGGCUCGAGUACGGAAGAGGCGAGUGGAAUUCCUGGUGUAGCGGUGAAAUGCGCAGAUAUCAGGAGGAACACCAAUGGCGAAGACAGCUCGCUGGGACGUGACUGACGCUGAGACGCGAAAGCGUGGGGAGCAAACAGG
rnacentral:rRNA from 1 species